CAACCAGACUCUGAGAAGUAGUACUUUGCCUCUUGGGUCACCAUUUCUCCAACGUGGGCCUCCUUUUUGGUUAUUUCUCUCAGAUCCAAACCUUAGAUUCCAGCCACGGACAACACAAGGACAGGGCCCUAGAUCGAGAUGACGACUGCAGAAGGAGGCCGAAUUGCCAGGCCUCGGCUCCUCUGGUUGGCUGUCCUACACGUCAGUCAGAAGUGAACAAGCUUUUAAUUGGUCUUAUGCAAUGGGAAACACAAAACACUCCUCUGAUUGGCCUCUUCGUCGAGGGGCGGGCCAUAGGGAGAGCGGCUUGUUAGGGCUGGAAUGGAAGACCAAUGGGAGCGCCGCAGCGCUGCUUUCGAAAGCGAGGCCUGCCCAACAGCACCUGGAAGAGUCCGCCGGUUGUCUCGGAGAUCCUGUGGCUUGUUUGCCAUCAGCAAAGCAAUUACAAAAGAGCUAUUGCCUGUACAGUCCUCUUCAUCAUUUGUGACCUGGGAUAUUGAGCUCAUGGGCUGGCAGAAUUCCAGUCCAUGAGGCAAUCUGUGUCAUUCUGGUCUAGCCAGGAACUUGAAUUCGGAGGAAGAUGGCAAAAUGGUGGACAAGUUAGGUGUCCAGCCCAUGCUAUCUGGAAGCAGAAAAUAUGG